rnacentral:lncRNA from 1 species
AAAAUGUCGAAGGUUAGUUCUUCUACUGUAGUAUCUUUUGAUCCUUUGCUUCUGUGCGGCCAUCCAAACAAGCGUUGCUUCUCGCUUUUCAUCUAAUAACUCGAGGCUAGCAUUCGUGGCCUCGUGAUUUGUCUCCUUUGAUGCAUGUUGAAACCUGCGCUGGGUUCUCCGACCUCGACGGGGACGAGGGCCUCAGAGCCAUAUACUAGAGAAAAUGGGGUGGUCCCCACGCUAGACUUCGAUGUUGUCCGAUAUGCCUAAAGGACCUCGUG